AUUUAGGCAGUUGAAGGCUACCUGUGUCCUGCAUAACUUCGUGAGGAUGGACACGAGGACCAGCAGUGGAUCUGCAGCUCACCGCCAUGUGCCAGAGGAGAGGUCUGCUGCUCUGCAGGAUGUUUCAAGGAUAGGGGCCAACAACGCAGCACGGGAGGCAAUCCAUGUGCGGGUGAGGGUGUGUUUAGGUGUAUAACUGUGGCUCCUUCCAUCUUCAAAGAGGACCAACUAUGGAGAAUAUAUAAAGUUCUCUGCAGCCACUUGGUGUGGACACCAGUAGGUUAUAUCAGCUGUGUCGGUGAACCCGUCCCGCAUCUGAACUUGCUGACACAUAGAGGGCACAGCAUUAUCAUAGGUAUAUUUUGACGUGAGAGAGGGUGCUAACCCCCAGCCUCGUCAUCACCAUCUCACCCGCUCUUAAGAUAACCUUCGGGCCAACUGGGUGCCCAAGGCUGUCAGGAGACUCCACUAGAGACACUAAUAUGGAAUUGUGAUGAACGGAGAGAAUAUUAGGGUAGCACUGUGAUUCAUGAAUCAAAUGCUGUCUUCCCUGCUCCUCUGUUCUUACCUCUUUCCCUUUGUUACCUUCCUUCCUCUGUUUUUAUAAUGCACACCAGAGCUUCAUUGAAGUACAGAUUGAACUUGCAUUUAGAAUAUAAUAUUAUAUUUAUAAUGCAUGCAUUAUGUAUUUAAAACACUUGGAUAAUGACGUUUUCAAGAAAGUGUUUCGCAUUCUAUUCGGGGUUGAAAUUAAGUCUCUCAUUUGAUGAAAUACUACACCUCUCCUGUGUCCUCAGAUCAAUGCAGAUGAAGGGAGUUUGAUACUGAGAUUAACCAGUUUUAGAGUAUUUCUAUGAUGCAUAGGAAGUGUAGUGUAUUGUUUUUAAAAAUUCUGUUUCUGUAUAUAUGAAUUACAAAUCAGCCUUUAACUACUUAAAUCAUGUGUCUAGUCUAUUGCAUAGUUACAAUGAGUAACCAUUGAUGUCCCAGGACCAGGAUUGGUAAACACUGUCAAAGUAUAUAAUUGUAAUACAUACAUGCAGACACAGCAUCAUUCAAAGAAUGGAGUUUGGUAUUCC
rnacentral:lncRNA from 1 species